rnacentral:misc_RNA from 1 species
AACGCACCUUGCGCUCCUUGGUAUUCCUUGGAGCAUGCCUGUUUGAGUAUCAUGAAAUCUUCAAAGUCAAACCUUUUGUUAAUUCAAUUGGUUCUGCUUUGGUAUUGGAGGAUUAUUGCAGCUUCACACCUGCUCCUCUUUGUGCAUUAGCUGGAUCUCAGUGUUAUGCUUGGUUCCACUCAGCGUGAUAAGUUAUCUAUCGCUGAGGACACCCUGUUAAAAAGGGGUGGCCAAGGUAAAUGCAGAUGAACCGCUUCUAAUAGUCCAUUGACUUGGACAAUAUCUAAUUUAUGAUCUGAUCUCAAAUCAGGUAGGACUACCCGCUGAACUUAA